CCCCGCAAGGGGAGUGGCAGACGGGUGAGUAACGCGUGGGAAUCUACCCAAUUCUUCGGAACAACACAUGGAAACGUGUGCUAAUACCGAAUGAGCCCUUCGGGGGAAAGAUUUAUCGGAAUUGGAUGAGCCCGCGUUGGAUUAGCUAGUUGGUGGGGUAAAGGCCUACCAAGGCGACGAUCCAUAGCUGGUCUGAGAGGAUGAUCA
rnacentral:rRNA from 1 species